ACACAUGCAAGUCGAACGGCUUCUUCGGAAGUCAGUGGCAGACGGGUGAGUAACACGUGGGAACGUGCCCUUCGGUUCGGAAUAACUCAGGGAAACUUGAGCUAAUACCGGAUACGCCCUUAUGGGGAAAGGUUUACUGCCGAAGGAUCGGCCCGCGUCUGAUUAGCUUGUUGGUGGGGUAACGGCCUACCAAGGCGACGAUCAGUAGCUGGUCUGAGAGGAUGAUCAGCCACACUGGGACUGAGACACGGCCCAGACUCCUACGGGAGGCAGCAGUGGGGAAUAUUGGACAAUGGGCGCAAGCCUGAUCCAGCCAUGCCGCGUGAGUGAUGAAGGCCUUAGGGUUGUAAAGCUCUUUUGUCCGGGACGAUAAUGACGGUACCGGAAGAAUAAGCCCCGGCUAACUUCGUGCCAGCAGCCGCGGUAAUACGAAGGGGGCUAGCGUUGCUCGGAAUCACUGGGCGUAAAGGGCGCGUAGGCGGCCGAUUAAGUCGGGGGUGAAAGCCUGUGGCUCAACCACAGAAUUGCCUUCGAUACUGGUUGGCUUGAGACCGGAAGAGGACAGCGGAACUGCGAGUGUAGAGGUGAAAUUCGUAGAUAUUCGCAAGAACACCAGUGGCGAAGGCGGCUGUCUGGUCCGGUUCUGACGCUGAGGCGCGAAAGCGUGGGGAGCAAACAGGAUU
rnacentral:rRNA from 1 species